rnacentral:tRNA from 1 species
UACCGCAUGGCGCAAUGGAUAACGCGUCUGCCUACGUAGCAGAAGGUUGCAGGUUCAAGCCCUGGUGUGGUCG